CAUGUAAAGUGACGUCAAGUAAUGGAAUUAAAAAUGAAGAAUCUCGUUCUUUCUAUCAACGUGUGCUAAAGUGAUAAGUGAUAAUUGCAAUGAGAAAUUAUUAGUGUUCCGAAUAAAGUAAUUUUGUCCGUAAAGGUCUCAAACCAGUCCUGGUCUCAUCGGUGAACGAGACAUUGGUCCAAAUGUUGGUAAGCAAGAGCCCAGUUGCUUCGAUAGGCGCGGUGCUGUUGGUUCGGUGCAAAGCUUCCCUUCGGCCUUCUGGACUGAGGACCAAGCUCAUGCAGUCUUCUGGUCUGCGAUAUAAGAACCCCUGUUGCCCUGGAGAGUUCAUUCCGAAGAGCCGACGCUUGGAGGACUGGAGGUGGGUCGGAAAUGGAGCGUGCUGCUUCUCCCGUGUUUUGCACGGCUGGGCGGAGGACAGGACGCGGCGUGCCGAGGAGCGACGAGACACUUGCGUCGUGGCGGCCUCGAGUCCGUACUUAAUCGGGUGACAUCACACAGGUGGCGGACGUGCUGGUGACCAGAGCACGGCCAGCAGCCGGUGCACCGUGCCGACCACGGCUAGAUGAGCUCCGCGUCUGCCGUGCGUCCUCCGGAGUUGAAGCCGAGGCCGUCCGAGAGAACACGGAACGCGGAGCUCCACAAGUGCCGUUCCGGCCUCGGGCGGCCGGGGGCGCUGCAUCAAGCUGGUACAGGCCCAGCGGCCGCGCCUCCAGCGAGGACUGGAAGAGGAGCAUCAGAGCGGCCUUUGCAUCGGAACGGGCGCGUGCCAACAUUCAGCCAACUGUGCCAAGCCGGUGUUCAGUGAAGAGAAUAUAAUGUUUUUAUGUAUCACUGACUGGUCUCAAGCAAGUUAUGAGCUGUUCUUACGUUGGUAGGACGAGUAUUUGUGUACUACUAGGGGCAAGAUAAUAUGGCGAAUAGUGAUAAACACAAAAUGCAAUGAAAUAAAAACAAUACGUACUUGGUACCACACAAAUGUAGGCCAAAUUUCAUCCAGGUCCGUUCAGCCGUUCUGGCGUGAUUGAGUAACAAACAUCAAUUCAUCAAAACUUUCACAUUUAUAUGUUAGUGGGAUUGUGAUAAAAUGUAAAAUUUAAAUUUGACAUUGUCCAAUGUUAAUUUGUUAGCUCCAAUAACAAAGUUACUUUCUUUUCCCCCAUAAAUGAAAUGUUAUAUGUAAUAAUAUGAGUUAUUUUGUAUAUUAAUGCACGUUACUAGUGACAUAUGUACAAGAUCAAAAUGACAGACAAAUAACUAUAAAUAUGAAGCCAUAAUUUCUUGCCUCUAUAUUAGUGAUGAAACUGAAGAAAAUACCCGUGUGUAUGUUUGUAAGUAGCAAUGGCCAGGCCUAUAACUGACUUAAUGUUGCAUGUGACAAGCCGAAACGUGCGAUAGUGUUAACCUAUGUUCUGGCUGUUUGUUUAAGCCCAAGUGUUAUCAUUCGUGUUAAUUAAUUCAGAUCUUUUGCAUUUCUUGAUGGGCUACAAAUUUUCUCACCAGAUUCUUUAACAAAUUUUUUUCUAACUGUAAAAUGUCACGUUAUUUAACACACCAAAACCCUGUUACAAAUCUUUUAAAGGGGGGACAAGGUAAAAGCAUAAGUAGGUACAUCUGAUAAAAAACACUGAAAUGGCAAGGAACUUUUUUUUUUCCCCAAGCAAGGGUGCCAACACGUAACUGAGAAUGUUGAUAUGUUUAAUACACCGCGCAUUUGCGUAGGUCUAGUAUUCUGGCAUAGGUACAUUUAAUUUUUGUAUACGGCUGUAAUUUAAAUUCACCAUCUAUGAAAAUGGUUGUAAACAAAAAAUGUGUGUAAAGUAAACCUUUUAACAUGUUAAACUUGCCUGUAGACAUAGUUAGGUUUUUAAAACUUUUUAUGUUUGAAUGUGUUUAUAUUUUGGAAAGUAAUCAAGCAGGCAAUGAACCAUUUAGCUACAUUUGUGAAAUUAAUGAAUACAUUUUACUCGUGGGAAAAAUGUCGGACUUAAUUUAAUUAAUAUGAUGGAAGAAGGAAAAAUAAGCAGGAAUAUUGUAACAGGGUGCUACUGUAAUUAUACACUUGUCAUGUUAUAAAGCUUUGUGAAAUCAUGUGAUUUUACUGGUAAAGCAGUUUCCAAGGAAAUUAAGUUGGAACUCUUAACAAAUUUUUUGCUUAAAGUGCAAAUCUUUCACAUGUUAAUUGGAAAUAAAAAAAAUUUGUGAAAGUUUUGAGCUUGAAGUAAAAACUUGUUUAAGUUGGAAUUCCUAACAAGUUUUUACUUCAAGCUCAAAACUUAAAAAAAAUUUUUUAUUUCCAAUUAACAUGUGAAAGAUUUACACUUUAAGCAAAAAAAUUUGUUAGAGUUCCAACUUAAUGUCCUUGAAACACUGGUUAAUGCUGACAAAUUUAUAAUCUUUUUCAAUCUAAAGGCUAAGUACAAUCAUGUAAUUUGCUGGUAUAAAUAAACUAUUAUAACUUGAA